CUGAUAUAACUCAUGAGAAGUGAUGUAAUGAAUGCCACUCACUAGUUAUAUAAAUUUGGGUAAUAGCCCCUAGUCUCUGUUUCCUUCGUAGUGAUAAUACUUGCACUGUUUUCAUAGGAUCAGUUUAAAGAUUACAUGAAAUUAUGUAUGUAAAUUACUUAGCACAGUACAUAGCAGAUGAUAUGCAGUCAAAAGUUACUAUACAUAAUUGUUAUUUUAAAUAGAAGAAUGAAACGACCUAUAAUAUAUACUGCUGGAAUGUUUUCAAAAGAAGCAGAGAUAUAUGUAAACACUGGACUAAAAUAGUGGCACCUGUCACAACAUCCCCUAGAAGGCUUUUUUUGAGAAACAAAUGAGAUAAUGUAUGUUAUGUACCUGUCAUAAUGCCUGACACACAACAAGGACUAAGGAUGCUUAACUCUUAUUCUUCAUCUCUUGCUAUUAGAAUAACAUGAGAAUCCUCAAAGAAUGGAAGUCAAGGUUUGAUUGAACAUAUUUUGGGCUUUAUUAAUUAUAAAACCUCCCUACAGAGUAUUUUUUAACAUUUCACUGGUUCCAUACAAUAAACUUGUCUCUCCCUCUUAUGAAAAAUUGAUAUCUUCAUUCUCUAGUUUUUUCUUUUCUUUUCUUUUUUUUUUUGGUAUCGGGGAUCGAACUCGGGACCUUCUGCUUGUGCAGCAGGUGGAGAAACCACUGAGCUAAAUCCCCAGCCCUAUUCUCUAGUUUUGAAGAGGAAAUUAUGGCUUAUAAAGUUUUGGUGCUAUGUACAAGUUAUGCAAGGGGAGAGGAAGGAUUUGAACUCAGGUUUGUAGGACGCUAAGCCAGAAUUAUUUCCAUAUUACCUCUGAAGAGCUUCCUAUUGAGCCAGCAUGAUUGAAUUACAAAUUUCUGCCUGGCUAUUACCUUAAAUAAUUCAUUCAAACUGUCUUCAUGGUGGUAUUGAUACAGCUAAGUCCAUUAACUGGGUCCCCUCAGAGCUGUUCCAAAGUAGAAAAGCAAUGACCAACCAAGAAGCAAGGAGAGUAAAGGCCCUGUAAGAAUUUUUGUUUAAGAUUGCAGUUUGUUUAAAGAAGAAGAACUUUCUGGAGAUGCAGUAGCAGCAAAUCUAUCAGCUCCUUGCAGUGUCAUCAAUCACAGAAGCACAAGGAAAAAAAACCAGGCUGGACUCAGUACCCAUCCUUGUAAAUUAUUUUUCAGGAAAUCCUGCAGGCUUGGUUUUUUACCAGGAAACAAUUACAGUUUAAUAUAGAGGACCACAGAAUUCACAUGGAACUGAUUUCUAUUUCUUUUUCUUCUGCUUACACAAAGGAAAUGCAAUUUUUCAAGAAACAGCAGAGAAAUACACAAGCACUGGACUAAUAUAGUGGCGCCUGUCACUUACAACUGAGGAAUUGUGUCAUUUCUCAUUGCCAGUCCUGACAGCACCUCAAAUAAAGAGGAGUCUUAACAAAUUAUAUUCCUGAUAUCGCUUACUGAAAGGCGAUGGCUCCAUUUUAAAUAAUAAAGUGACAAUGCAAAGACUUGAAGCUAGAUAUGAAGAAAGUUUACCAUAGCUUAACUGUGCUGUGCAACUUUAAAAAUGAAGAAACUCCCAUGACAGUCAACUACAUGGAUGACGAUAUUAGAUAUAAAGUGAAAGAAAGAAGGAGAAAGAAGUGCCUACUCAUGGACAAAGGACCAUAAAGUCAUUGUCAGUGACACUUCUCAGUGAGUUUCUGGAAGAGGUAAGGAAAGGCUUUGGCAUUGAUGGAAGGAAUGGCUGCUGAACCACUGGGCAUGUAAUGAACAACUGGGAACUUGUCCUGCCUUCAUCCAUUUAUGGGAAAGAAAAGGCUAUAUGAUACUCAUUUUGCUUCCCAGAAGACCCAUUCCAACUCUACCAAUUCAGAUGAUCCCUUUUCCAAGUCUGGUAAGAGAUGGGAAAAAUUCAGUGUCAUUUCUUCUUCAGGUGAACACUGCAUUUGUUUAUAGGAAAGCUUUGAAAACACUUCCUGGGAUGAAAUUAAGGAAUGACAGGGUGACAGUUUGAUAAAAGACAGAUAACAACCUUCUGGAGAAGGAGGGGCUUUUAUUCAGGGCCUAACUUUUCUUUCUGAGAAAAACGUGAAAGAAAGUGUGAUGGUAAAGAUCAAAUUAGAGGCAAAGUGCUCUGCAUAAUAGAAAAAAGAAUUUGCCAUUCCCUUGAAGAAAUCCAGGAACCUGCUUCCUGUGGAGAAGAAAGGUAAGAGAGGAAAACUCUUGAGGUUCCUCCCUGCUUUUGGCCCUUGAAGAUUUCUUCACACUUAGCUUUGCCUUUAAAGAAAUGUUUGGAUCUUACCCACCGUUUCAAAGUGUUGGAGCAGGAAAGUUUUUUGUGUGAUAUCAUUUUGACAUACUACCAGCAACAGAAAUACUCAGUAUAUUCAAAUUUUGAGCAAAAGCUAUUCACUUUAUUGUAUAUACAAAUUAUAUUUAGCAACAGUCUAUUUUCCUUCCAUCAUCCAAAAUAUAAUUUUUAUGAUAACUGUUAGAGUUGUAAAUCCCAGUAGCUGAAGUAAUAUCAUUACUUUUCUAGAAGUGUGUGAAAUAUAUUAUUAAGCAAACUAGGAGCUGUCACAUUACCAAACCAGAUGCAUUCUUUGGACCAAGGAUCUCUGCAUUUUGACCAGAAAUUACACACAGAUUCUAAACUAUGAUAGUGUGGUCCUCCACUCAACUCCAGAAGAAGUGGAAAAAUAAAAUAAAGGCAAGUCUAGUAAAAUCAAUACAUACAAAGCAUGAUCACAAACUAUGGUGAAUGCUUAAAUUAAAAUUUUAAAAUAUUUAUUACAGUAAAAUUAUCACUACAGUAUCAUUAAUCUCCUCAAAAUAGUCCCUUCACUUUGAACUCACAUAUCCCAUGGCUCUUGCCAUUUUUCUGAAGCAUUUCUGGAAGUCUUCUUCAUGAGAGUUGUAAGGGGGCUGCCCAAGCAUCCUGAAUUGACUCAAAAUGUUUAGCACAUUUUUUGUCAAAUAAAAACAUUAUGAUAUGUGGUCAUCUGUCCUAUACACCAGAUCUGGCACUGUGAAAUAUCUGGCUCUUCCCCAAAAUAAAAGGAUCAUGAAAAAUAAGUCUUUAGUCAUUCAGGACUUUGAGGCAAACUUCACAGAGCAACUAAAAGACAUUCAGGAAAAAGGACUUCCAGAAGUGCUUCAGAAUGUGGCAAGAAGGAUGCGAUAAGUAAGUUCCAAGGGAAGGGAGUAUUUGAGGGGGAUUAAUAGAAAUGUGUCUAUCAGCAUAAUAAUUUUUUAUUUAAACAUUCAUUGCAGUUUUGAUCACACUCCCUAAAUCAAUAAAUAACAUUCCUACUUUGCUUCUUCUCACUUUGGGGAUAUUCAAAGUUGGUAAAGAAAUUUUUUUCACUGAGUUGUUAAGCUUUCAGACAAAAAGAACUAUGGGGGAAAUUUUAAAAUUGCUUACUAUGGGGAGUGUGACACCUCUCUUCUACUUCCUACUGUCUCCUAGACACCUUAGUGAAGUCUAUGUAGCUCACUAAUACCUCUGUGUGAAUGCAUUCUUCAUGUGAAAAUGAAAAGAUUUUGAAUUUAGUGUCUCAGUCAUUGCAAAAUGAAAACAGAGACAUAAUUAGAAAAUGAAAGUGUCAAAAUGGAAAACUAUCGUAUUUUCUUCUACAGCAACAUCAAGAUAGAGAUUUCACUUGACUUUUUGUUUUACUUACAAGAAGCAGUGGUAUAAAUAGCCUAUGUCAGCUAGUUUAAGUCAAAGGUCAGUGGAUAUUUUUUGUUAAGGGUCAGACAGUAAAUCUUUUAGGUCUGCAGACCAGAUAAACUGUGUUGGAACUACUCAAGUCUGCUGUAGUAGUGAGAAAGCAGCCAUGAGCAAUGUAAAAAUAAAUGAUAGUAGCUGUGUUCCAAUAAAACAUUAUUUAUAAAAAUAGGAGGUGGAGUGGAUUUGGCCUGUGGGCUUUUAGUUUGCUAAUCCUCAUAUAAAAAUGUAAAACUUUAAUUAUCU
rnacentral:lncRNA from 1 species